rnacentral:rRNA from 1 species
GAUGAACGCUGGCGGCGUGCCUAAUACAUGCGAGUCGAGCGAACAGAUGAGGAGCUUGCUCCUCUGACGUUAGCGGCGGACGGGUGAGUAACACGUGGAUAACCUACCUAUAAGACUGGGAUAACUUCGGGAAACCGGAGCUAAUACCGGAUAAUAUAUUGAACCGCAUGGUUCAAUAGUGAAAGACGGUUUUGCUGUCACUUAUAGAUGGAUCCGCGCCGCAUUAGCUAGUUGGUAAGGUAACGGCUUACCAAGGCAACGAUGCGUAGCCGACCUGAGAGGGUGAUCGGCCACACUGGAAAUGAGACACGGUCCAGACUCCUACGGGAGGCAGCAGUAGGGAAUCUUCCGCAAUGGGCGAAAGCCUGACGGAGCAACGCCGCGUGAGUGAUGAAGGUCUUCGGAUCGUAAAACUCUGUUAUUAGGGAAGAACAAAUGUGUAAGUAACUAUGCACGUCUUGACGGUAACUAAUCAGAAAGCCACGGCUAACUACGUG